rnacentral:rRNA from 1 species
GGAGCCGUAGCGAAAGCGAGUCUGAAUAGGGCGCAUAAGUAACAGGUCGUAGACCCGAAACCAGGUGAUCUACCCAUGUCCAGGAUGAAGGUAAGGUAAUACUUACUGGAGGUCCGAACCCACGCACGUUGAAAAGUGCGGGGAUGAGGUGUGGGUAGCGGAGAAAUUCCAAUCGAACUUGGAGAUAGCUGGUUCUCUCCGAAAUAGCUUUAGGGCUAGCCUCGAGGUAAAGAGUCAUGGAGGUAGAGCACUGUUUGGACUAGGGGCCCUUCUCGGGUUACCGAAUUCAGAUAAACUCCGAAUGCCAUGUACUUAUACUCGGGAGUCAGACUGCGAGUGAUAAGAUCCGUAGUCGAAAGGGAAACAGCCCAGACCACCAGUUAAGGUCCCCAAAUAUAUGUUAAGUGGAAAAGGAUGUGGGGUUGCUUAGACAACCAGGAUGUUGGCUUAGAAGCAGCCACCAUUGAAAGAGUGCGUAAUAGCUCACUGGUCGAGUGACCCCGCGCCGAAAAUGUACCGGGGCUAAACAUAUUACCGAAACUGUGGAUGAACCUCUUUAGAGGUUCGUGGUAGGAGAGCGUUCUAAGGGCGGUGAAGUCAGACCGGAAGGACUGGUGGAGCGCUUAGAAGUGAGAAUGCCGGUAUGAGUAGCGAAAGAAGGGUGAGAAUCCCUUCCACCGAAUAUCUAAGGUUUCCUGAGGAAGGCUCGUCCGCUCAGGGUUAGUCGGGACCUAAGCCGAGGCCGAUAGGCGUAGGCGAUGGACAACAGGUAGAGAUUCCUGUACCAGUGCUAAUUGUUUAACCGAUGGGGUGACACAGAAGGAUAGGGAAUCGCACGAAUGGAAAUGUGCGUCCAAGCAGUGAGUGUGAGAAGUAGGCAAAUCCGCUUCUCGCGAAGCAUGAGCUGUGAUGGGGAAGGAAAUUAAGUACGGAAGUUCCUGAUUUCACGCUGUCAAGAAAAGCCUCUAGGAAGAGUAGUACUGCCCGUACCGCAAACCGACACAGGUAGAUGAGGAGAGAAUCCUAAGGUGAGCGAGAGAACUCUCGUUAAGGAACUCGGCAAAAUGACCCCGUAACUUCGGGAGAAGGGGUGCUCUAUUAGGGUGCAAGCCCGAGAGAGCCGCAGUGAAUAGGCCCAGGCGACUGUUUAGCAAAAACACAGGUCUCUGCAAAACCGUAAGGUGACGUAUAGGGGCUGACGCCUGCCCGGUGCUGGAAGGUUAAGAGGAGUGCUUAGCUUCGGCGAAGGUACGAAUUGAAGCCCCAGUAAACGGCGGCCGUAACUAUAACGGUCCUAAGGUAGCGAAAUUCCUUGUCGGGUAAGUUCCGACCCGCACGAAAGGCGCAACGAUCUGGGCACUGUCUCAACGAGAGACUCGGUGAAAUUAUAGUACCUGUGAAGAUGCAGGUUACCCGCGACAGGACGGAAAGACCCCGUGGAGCUUUACUGCAACCUGAUAUGGAAUGUUUGUACCGCUUGUACAGGAUAGGUAGGAGCCGAAGAGACGUGUGCGCUAGCAUACGAGGAGGCAAUGGUGGGAUACUACCCUGGCUGUAUGACCAUUCUAACCCGCCACGCUUAGCGCGUGGGGAGACAGUGUCAGGUGGGCAGUUUGACUGGGGCGGUCGCCUCCUAAAGAGUAACGGAGGCGCCCAAAGGUUCCCUCAGAAUGGAUGGAAAUCAUUCGCAGAGUGUAAAGGCACAAGGGAGCUUGACUGCGAGACUGACAAGUCGAGCAGGGACGAAAGUCGGGCUUAGUGAUCCGGUGGUUCCGCAUGGAAGGGCCAUCGCUCAACGGAUAAAAGCUACCCCGGGGAUAACAGGCUUAUCUCCCCCAAGAGUCCACAUCGACGGGGAGGUUUGGCACCUCGAUGUCGGCUCGUCGCAUCCUGGGGCUGUAGUCGGUCCCAAGGGUUGGGCUGUUCGCCCAUUAAAGCGGCACGCGAGCUGGGUUCAGAACGUCGUGAGACAGUUCGGUCCCUAUCCGUCGCGGGCGCAGGAAAUUUGAGAGGAGCUGUCCUUAGUACGAGAGGACCGGGAUGGACACACCGCUGGUGUACCAGUUGUUCCGCCAGGAGCAUCGCUGGGUAGCUAUGUGUGGCAGGGAUAAACGCUGAAAGCAUCUAAGCGUGAAGCCCCCCUCAAGAUGAGAUUUCCCAUUUCUUCGGAAAGUAAGAUCCCUGAAAGAUGAUCAGGUAGAUAGGUUUGGAGUGGAAGUGUAGCGAUACAUGGAGCGGACAAAUACUAAUCGAUCGAGGACUUAACCAAAA